rnacentral:lncRNA from 1 species
AAAAUGGGCCUCAAGUUCAUGUCACACCAUUGCAAGAUUGGUUGGGCAAGUUAGGCUUAAAUCUGCCUAGAAAUUUCAAGUCAUGCUACCAACUUUAAAUGAAUGCAUCUCUCAAACCAUGGAUCCAAAUGAGAUGACUCCAAAGGGAGGUGAAAGGGGACAUGACAAGGUAUAAUUGUUGUGAAGAAAAUAUUUUCAAAUGAUGCCUUGAAGUGCAAGAAAACUGGCCAAGAAGUUUUGACAAAACUUAAAGAUUUUUAGACUUAUAAAUUUUUCUAAGUGUCCUAAAAAUAUGCCCUGCUUUGAC